rnacentral:rRNA from 1 species
UACGAGAGGCCCAAACGUUAUUCGGAUUUACUGGGCUUAAAGAGUUCGUAGGCGGCGCAGAAAGUAGGGUGUGAAAGCCCUCGGCUCAACCGAGGAAUUGCGCCCUAAACUACUGUGCUUGAGGAACCUAGAGGUGAGUGGAACUGAUGGUGGAGCGGUGAAAUGCGUUGAUAUCUGGAGGAACACCGGUGGCGAAGGCGGCAUCCUGGACCGGCAUUGACGCUGAGGCGCGAAAGCUAGGGGAGCAAACGGG